rnacentral:tRNA from 1 species
UUAUAGCCAUAGAUAAAAGAUAAAACCAAUGGUUUUGUACGCCGUUAUUACUGUGUACAUAGCAGUGGUCGGGUUCUACUUCUGGAUUACAAU